GGACCCUUAGCUCAGUGGUAGAGCUUUGUACUUAUGAUGCAAAGGUCCCGAGUUCAACCCUCGGAGGGUCCA
rnacentral:tRNA from 1 species